rnacentral:snRNA from 1 species
GUACUUACCUGGAGGGGAGAUACCACGAUCAUGAAGGUGGUUUUCCCAGGGAGAAGCUUAUCCAUUGCACUCUGGAUAUGCUGACCCCUGCAAUUUCCCCAAAUGUGGGAAACUCACUGCAUAAUUUGUGGUAGUGGGGGACUGCGUUCGCCCUUUCCCCUA